rnacentral:lncRNA from 1 species
GGUUGGUAUACUGUUUACAAGAUAAAUAUCAGAGAAAAUGGAACAACCUCUGACGUGGUGGUUCCUCAGGUUGAAUUCGGCUCAAUCCAUCCCAAUAAAGAUCAGAGAAUUUUAUACUUGGUACUGAUGGUAUAGAGUCUUGCAUUAUUUCAUCAUUGCUACUUGAUAUUAAAAAUAGAAAACGGAGGAAAUAACAAGGAUAAAAUUCAUUUAAAACACUUACCUUUUGCCCUGCUUUUUUGGCUUGCUCAACAGCAGCAACAGUUGUACCUGCUUUCCGGUAUUUGUGACCUCGCUUGUAUUUAUCUUGUUUCUUGGGUGCACGCUUCUUAUCAAAUUUCUUUUUCUUGUCCCCUUCUUUCUUGCCAUCUUUCUUGUCUUUCUUGGCAUCUUUCUCUGCUCCAGUUGAGGCUUUCAGAGGCUUCUUUUCUUUCUUUGCUUUCUCAGACUUGUCUUUCUUGGACGCAUCUUUCGUUAAGAUUUGACUCCUUUGGCAGCAGCAGGUUUUUUAUCAGUUGUAGCCUUCUUUUAUCAGCACCCUUGGCGGCUGGUUUCUUCUCAGCUACUUUCUUUCCUGCUGGCUUCUUUUCUGCGACUUCUUAUCUGCUGGUUUUUUUUCAGCUGGUUUUUUUCUCAGCUUUGGCAGUGCCAGAUGCAGCUGGUUUCUUCUCAGCCUUUGCAGCAGGCUUUUUCUCCGAGGAUGACCCUGCAGCAGGCUUUUUGGCCCCUAAAAAUGACCAAGAAUAAUCAAAAACAUUAGGAUAAAAUAAUUUUAGGAGAAAAAAUAAAACACAACAUGAGGAAGGAUGAAUACUAACUUGGAAAUUUUUAGAUGAAAUCAAGAGCAAUGAGUUCGAAAUGAAAUAUUAGGUAGGGGAAGAAAUUCAGUCUUCUUAGAUGUAGGCGUUUACUCAGCUUCAAGAGGGAGUUUCUUAAGCGGGGAUUUUACUUUUUAUUUUUUUAAAAGAAAAAAAAAAAAAAUUAACAGCACAAGCGCACUGAUGCACUCAUGAAUUAAUAGCAAAGAAUGAUUAGCAAGUUCUCCUAUUUGCAGUGAAUAUACCUUCCUCAGGAGCUCCAAGAUGCAUACUUAACUGAAAGUCUACUCUCCCAACUACAAAAUUUAGUGCGGUUCCUUAUUGUAGUUUGUUCCUAUUCCUGAACAGCCAAGACCAUACCUUAUACCUAAGAAUUCUCAAUGAAGUGCACCCGAUCGAGAUCCUGAACAUGCUCUGAUUAAUCAUCAUCAAUCUAACAUCUAUGGCUGUAUUGUUGAAGUAAACUGUGUGAGGCCAUUUGAAAACAUACUUACCGUACUUCCAAACGGUCCGGGAUGUUGAACUCCUUUAUAAAGCGAAUGACUUAUGCAUUUACAUGUAAAUGACCAACGUUUCAACAAAACGCUCAACAAUUUAGGGAGGGCAACGGCCACCAUUGGAUUGCAUUUGCAAACAGAACAACGUAUUGGAUACGUAUACUUCAACAAUGCAACUUACUUUAUCACAUGGCAAAAGACCAGUUGGAUGGUCUCCAGCUGAGUCGGAUUACAGAAUGCUGCACUAUCGAAUCUAGCCUUGUAUCGAGUACCAAUUUAGAGAGCUGAUUCAAGCACAGGCGUAGGCUAACCAAAUGACAAAAGGCAUGCCCGGGAUCUUAUCAGUUUCAUGUCCAAGCCCGCUGAGCUUCCCUCCAGUUUCCCUGACGGGUUUAAGAGAUUAAAUUUAGAUUGUGGAAUUUUCUACAUACCAGAGCCUUCUUGCUUCUUCGGAGGCAUGUGAGUAGCGCUGUUUAUUAGACCUAAAUAAUAAAAAAAAACACCCUCUAAUUCACGAUGCACUGAGAAGCGUCGAAAUUGUCGCGUGGAACGCUGAUCGCUGAUUAGAAUUUUGAGGUUAGGGGUGAACGGUGAACAGCCAGGUGAAUGUGUCCUACUGAGCUAUCCUACUAACAUGAAAGAACGCACUUGGAGGGUCCGCUGCCGCAUCCCACUCGUGACCGGUCGACAUGCUCCUAAACGCCGCCAGG